rnacentral:tRNA from 1 species
UCUAAUAUGGCAGAAUAAUGCAUUAGAUUUAAGCUCUAAAAAUAAAGGUUUAACCUUUUAUUAGAA